UACGAAGGGGGCUAGCGUUGUUCGGAAUUACUGGGCGUAAAGGGCGCGUAGGCGGUUGUGCAAGUCAGACGUGAAAGCCCUGGGCUCAACCCAGGAUGUGCGUUUGAUACUGCGCGACUAGAGUGUGGGAGAGGAUGGUGGAAUUCCCAGUGUAGAGGUGAAAUUCGUAGAUAUUGGGAAGAACACCGGUGGCGAAGGCGACCAUCUGGACCACAACUGACGCUGAGGCGCGAAAGCGUGGGGAGCAAACAGGAUUAGAAACCCCUGUAGU
rnacentral:rRNA from 1 species